rnacentral:rRNA from 1 species
AUUGAACGCUGGCGGCAUGCCUUACACAUGCAAGUCGAACGGUAGCGGGCCUUCGGGUGCCGACGAGUGGCGAACGGGUGAGUAAUACAUCGGAACGUGCCCGAUCGUGGGGGAUAACGAGGCGAAAGCUUUGCUAAUACCGCAUACGAUCUACGGAUGAAAGCAGGGGACCGCAAGGCCUUGCGCGGACGGAGCGGCCGAUGGCAGAUUAGGUAGUUGGUGGGAUAAAAGCUUACCAAGCCGACGAUCUGUAGCUGGUCUGAGAGGAUGAUCAGCCACACUGGGACUGAGACACGGCCCAGACUCCUACGGGAGGCAGCAGUGGGGAAUUUUGGACAAUGGGCGAAAGCCUGAUCCAGCCAUGCCGCGUGCAGGAUGAAGGCCUUCGGGUUGUAAACUGCUUUUGUACGGAACGAAAAGCCUUCUUUUAAUACAGGAGGGUCAUGACGGUACCGUAAGAAUAAGCACCGGCUAACUACGUG